rnacentral:lncRNA from 1 species
UGAUUUCUAAGAGUCUCAGAGACCUAGGAUCCACAAAAUCAAAACAACAAAACCAAGCCUUUGUGCACAUCUGUGGUUGUGACCAGUUGGAGAGACAUUAGGAGAUGAGAUACUAUGUUCACUCCUCACAGCUGUACCAGGGACCUGAGAUAUUCCGUCACUAUUCUAUGAGCCUGGGCUGGUGAAUGGUUCCUGCUUUCACUAUUCCAGAUGUCCAGCUCUGUACCUUGCUGCUCUCCUUAAAGCCUGCCUCCCUCUAGGGAGCUAUGGUGCAUUACUCACGAGUGACAGAACCAACGAGCUUCAUCUCCCAAGAGGCUGGUGCAUCUGUUUAAAGGAGCAGGCACUAGGCAGAGCAGCCCCCACCCCACCCUCCAUGGCAGAGUGCAGUGGGGGAAGGGAUGGGAUUUCACCAUGUUGUCCAAGCUGGUUUUGAACUCCUGGGGUCAAGAAAUCCACCUGCUUCGGCCUCCCACAGUGCUGGGA